GUAUAUGGUGGUAUGCACACCAAAUUUGGGAUGAUAUGAAGAAGAUUAACACGGCUUCUACACAAGAAUGACAUACAGAUCUACGAACAUUUACCUAUUUUU